GACGAACGCUGGCGGCGUGCUUAACACAUGCAAGUCGAACGGAAAGGCCCUGCUUUUGUGGGGUGCUCGAGUGGCGAACGGGUGAGUAACACGUGAGUAACCUGCCCUUGACUUUGGGAUAACUUCAGGAAACUGGGGCUAAUACCGGAUAGGCGCUCCUGCUGCAUGGUGGGGGUUGGAAAGUUUCGGCGGUUGGGGAUGGACUCGCGGCUUAUCAGCUUGUUGGUGGGGUAGUGGCUUACCAAGGCUUUGACGGGUAGCCGGCCUGAGAGGGUGACCGGCCACAUGGGGACUGGGAUACGGCCCAGACUCCUACGGGAGGCAGCAGUGGGGAAUAUUGCACAAUGGGCGGAAGCCUGAUGCAGCAACGCCGCGUGCGGGAUGACGGCCUUCGGGUUGUAAACCGCUUUCGCCUGUGACGAAGCGUGAGUGACGGUAAUGGGUAAAGAAGCACCGGCUAACUACGUG
rnacentral:rRNA from 1 species